CCUACGGUGGCAGCAGUGGGGAAUAUUGCGCAACGGGCGAAAGCCUGACGCAGCGACGCCGCGUGAGGGAUGAAGGUCUUCGGAUCGUAAACCUCUGUCAGCCGGGAAGAACGGUCACUGUGCUCAUCAGCCGUGAAUUGACGGUACCUGCAAAGGAAGCACCGGCUAACUCCGUGCCAGCAGCCGCGGUAAUACGGAGGGUGCGAGCGUUAAUCGGAAGUACUGGGCGUAAAGCGCUCGUAGGCGGUGUGUAAAGUCAAGGGUGAAAUCCCCGCGCUCAACGGGGGAACUGCCUUUGAAACUGGAGAAUGGGAGGGUGGGAGGGGAAAGUGGAAUUCCUGGUGUAGGGGUGAAAUGAGUAGAUAUGAGGAGGAACAACGGGGGGGAAGGCGACUAACUGGAAAGUAACGGACGGUGAGGAGCGAAAGCGUGGGGAGCAAACAGGAUUAGAUACCCGAGGAGUC
rnacentral:rRNA from 1 species